rnacentral:rRNA from 1 species
UACGUAGGGUGCGAGCGUUGUCCGGAAUUAUUGGGCGUAAAGGGCUCGUAGGCGGUUUGUCGCGUCGGGAGUGAAAACACACAGCUUAACUGUGUGCUUGCUUCCGAUACGGGCAGACUAGAGGUAUGCAGGGGAGAACGGAAUUCCUGGUGUAGCGGUGAAAUGCGUAGAUAUCUGGAGGAACACCGGUGGCGAAGGCGGCAUCCUGGACCAAUUCUGACGCUGAGGAGCGAAAGCCAGGGGAGCAAACGGG